rnacentral:tRNA from 1 species
CGGGAAGUGGGCCAGGUGGAGUGGCCGCGUGCGUCGGAAGCACGAAAUCGCAGGUUCGACUCCUGUCUUCCCGAC